GGCAAUAUGGCCGAGUGGUUAAGGCGCUAGAUCCAGGUCAACAUCCUAUCUUCUAGUCCGCAAGGGCGUGGGUUCGAGUCCCACUGUUGUCA